AUUGAACGCUGGCGGCAGGCCUAACACAUGCAAGUCGAGCGGAUGAAGGGAGCUUGCUCCUGGAUUCAGCGGCGGACGGGUGAGUAAUGCCUAGGAAUCUGCCUGGUAGUGGGGGAUAACGUCCGGAAACGGGCGCUAAUACCGCAUACGUCCUGCGGGUGAAAGUGGGGGAUCUUCGGACCUCACGCUAUCAGAUGAGCCUAGGUCGGAUUAGCUAGUUGGUGGGGUAAAGGCCUACCAAGGCGACGAUCCGUAACUGGUCUGAGAGGAUGAUCAGUCACACUGGAACGGAGACACGGUCCAGACUCCUACGGGAGGAAGCAGUGGGGAAUAUUGGACAAUAGGCGAAAGCCUGAUCCAGCCAUGCCGCGUGUGUGAAGAAGGUCUUCGGAUUGUAAAGCACUUUAAGUUGGGAGGAAGGGCAGUAAGUUAAUACCUUGCUGUUUUGACGGUACCAGCAGAAUAAGCACCGGCUAACUUCGUG
rnacentral:rRNA from 1 species